AUCGCCACAAGAAUCCGUAGUCCAUCCAGGGAGUUGGCGACAGUUCAGUUACUUAGAUAACUUCAGUCAUGAUAACAUCACAGACUGCGUUAUUAUUUGUCUUGGUCGCCUGUGGAUUUGGUAUAGUUACCGCUGCAAAAUUUGAAACAACAGAAUUACUAGCCCCUCCAGAGAGACCCACAUCUAUUUCUAGUAUUGAAGAACUAAGGCGAUACAUUCAGGAAUUGAAUAUGUAUUAUCUGAUACUGGCUCGACCGAGAUAUGGACGUUCUGUUUCAAAUUCUAAGCCUGCAUGAUCAUUUGAUGAGAGGAGCUGUGCCUUUCCAGAC